rnacentral:lncRNA from 1 species
AAAAAGCAGACCUGCUCCAGUUGGAGAAUCCCUGCCCUAAGUUACAGGAGGCCUUAAGAUGUGAUAAAUUGGUGGUGCUUCAGCAUGCCCAAAUUCAGGUAAGGACAUCAGAAAGGGGCGGCUGGGAGGAGACAGCGGUCAGGUCAGAGAAAUCCUCAGGACAGCAGCAACUGUGAGCUGAGCACCCCAGGGGGACUUUCUUCUGCAUCUGUGGUUCAUCUCUGCCUGUGCUGGUGAAGAAUAAAUCUGGAGCGAGUCUACAAGUGUCCACAGCUACCUUCUUGCUUCCAAACCAGUCUGUUCUUGUACUUUUUGCCCUUCUCCCCAGCUCAGACCAUCCUUACAAGGCUUUGCACCACAGCCCAGACCAAGAACAAAACAAAGACAGUACCUGAAAUGUGAAACUUUCUGGUAUCUUGGAAGAAAUGAGUUUCUUUGUCGAAGACUGUGCAGCACAGUUGCAUGUGUGAGUGCAUAUUACAUGUAUAAUACUAAUAACAAAACAUCGAGAGAAAGCUGCUUAAUCCCCCUUCUGCUCCCUUGAGACUCUUCUAGGGGAACAUCCAGUUUUGGAAUAUGUGGAACUAAAUGCAGAAUGGAUAUGUAUAUCCAUGGAGGCUGAGCUCAGGCCAGAAUCCCCUGGAUUAAAGGCUGGAUGUAAUUUUCAUUGUUCAUGCUUUGCACAACCAUCUACUGUAUUUCAAAUCCU